CCAAAAAGUUCAAGAAAUUAGGACAGCGCCGGGCGAGGAUUGCAGUCUUCGUCCUCGAUCGCACUGACCGAGCUCUACCCUUAAAUUCAAUACGCGGAUCGCGUUCAAUGGUUACUCAGCGAACCUCGAAAAUUACGGAGCCCGAAGAAUAGAAAGAUUGGUGUCAAGAAGAGUCGAUCACUGCUACCAGAAAUCAAUUGCGGUUAUAUCAUCAGUCAUGGACUCAAUUACGUUCCUUCAUUGGACGAGCGUACAGAACGAACGUCGAAUCUGCCCCGACUACUUCUUCAUGAGGAAAAACAGUUGAACUAUGAGAAGCCUGGAGGCAAUGGGCACAAGAAAAGACAUGGCGUUGACAAAUUUGAAGACUGUUGGAAUUUGUUGGGUAUACUGCACCAUAGCUUGCAAGCAGUCAUCCAAGUAACUACUGAAAUACUUCGCAAA